CUAACAUCCAGGCGCAUUUUCUGGCCAUUUUUUGCACAUCGGACACUUCUGGUGUCGCUACAGCAAACGAUUUUGCAAAGACCUCAUUUUUUUUUUCCUACCACCUGUGAAGACGCGCAUCUGGUCUACUGCACUGGUUCAAGACUCGAGGCAAGCGGAGCGUGGAUUUCUGCAAAAAAAUUGGGAGCAUUGCACAGGCUGAGUCUUCCCAAAGAUGCCACUUCCAAAGAAAGGAAAAGUGAAAAAAGCAAGGAAGCAAAAAUCAUCCACUCUAGGUGAGGAGAGACACAAAAAGGCAUCGCCGGAGGCUGUCGCACUGAAGCAGCACUUGGUUCUCCAGAGAGACCUGGCCAAACAGGCAAUGAUUGACAGGGAAGGAUUCAGGCGGAGGCUGACAGAACUGGAGAGAGAUCUGGAGGAAGCCCAGAAAGACAAAAAGGACAUGUAUGAAGAGAUGAUCCGCCAGCAUCAGCAGUUUCAGCGCCAGACCGAUAGCCAAAUUCAGCGUUUGGAAGCUGAAAAGAAGAACCUGCAAGGACAGCUGGCUGCCUGCCAAAAAACCCUGCAGCGGAGUGAAGAGGACCGAGCAAAUAUCUCGGAGGAGAAGGACAAAGCUGUGGCUUUAAUGCAGCAGAAGGUUGAGGAGAUGGAGAAGGAAUGUGAAAGAAUCCUUCACGACAGCUUGGAUCAGGUGCUUUCCAAGCUACAAGCCACCAAUCUGGGCUGGGAGACAGAGGCUACCCUCAUCCACACUGAAUAUAAGAAUACACUAAAGGAUUUUGGACUUAACCCGUUGGAGAUCUGAAGCAGCGGUCAAGCAGAGCUAAGGAGUUGAUAGAAAAGAAGACUUUUAGGUACCAUAUUGUAGAACUUGCUUCCUUCUGAGUCGAUGACCAAGAGAGUCACCCGCUGGUUGUUGGAACGGAUCCUCGACACCACUUCCUGAUGGUCAAGCUCUUCGACAAUCUCACCGUUCACCGCCAACAGGCAGUCGCCUUCUCUCAUCCCUGCCUUUUCAGCGGGUAGCCCGGCAUCCACGUCUCUCAAAAAUUGGGCUGCAGCCAGGUCAAAGAUAGAAGAGACAAGAACAGCCUCUGGGUGAAAGGAUUCCAACAAAUUCUCCUGGAGGGACUUAGCUUAACCUGCUCGGAAGGAAAUGUGGAGAUUUGCUAAAGGAACAAGAUCCAGAUCCCUCCCCCAUUGGCCUCUUCUAAAUCUAGCUUUCCCAAUCUGGUGGGUUCAGGUCUGCUGGAUACAGUCCCAACUCCUAGCCUGUCUGGUUUGGUUCUGCAACCCAACAAGACAGACACAGACUUCAGAGGAUCAUUAGAACUGCAGAAAAAACAAUGGCUACCAACCUGCCUUCCAUUGAGGACCUGUAUACUGCACGAGUCAAAAAGAGGGCUGGGAAAAUAUUCACAUCCUGGACAUAAACUGUUUCAACUCCUACCCUCAAAACGACGCUACAGAGCACUGCACACCAGAAAAACUAGACAAGAGUAGUUUUUGCCCGAAGGCCAUCACUGCUAAACAAAUACUUCUCUCAACACUGUCAAACUAUUUACUAAGUCUGCACUACUAUUAAUCUUCUCAUCGUUCCCAUCACCCAUCUCCUUCCCCUUAUGACUGCAUGACUAUAACUUUGUGGCUUGUAUCCUUACGAUUUAUAUUGAUAUUGAUGGUUUCCUGAUUGCUUAUUUGUACCCUAUGACUAUCAUUAAGUGUCGUACUUUAUGAUUCUUGAUGAACGUAUCUUUUCUUUUAUGUACACUGAGAGCCUAUGCAUGAAGACAAAUUCCUUGUGUGUCCAAUCACACUUGGCCAAUAAAGAAUUCUAUAUUCUGUUGUGGAUGGGCGUUUGGCAAUAUGGCUGGGUGGUCAGGAGUAAUCCAAGAUAGCUGUAACCUGCAAUCCUCCCCACUCAACUUUUGAGCGGAAGUUGGCUUGAUUUUCACAUCCUGGGAAGCUGGAAGGCAAAGCUCCAGAGUGGGUAGAGCAGAAGGAAGAAAGGUUGAGCAUCUUCCUACCUUGCCCCAAAGUCGCAUGAUUUGUAUUUUGGGGAGGGAUUAUACAGGUAGUCCUUGACUUAUGGCCACAAUUGGGACCAGAAUUUCCUUGGCUGAGCAAGGCGGUCAUCCGAUUUUAAGACCCCUUUUGCCAUGGUUGUUAAGCAAAUUACUGCAGUUGUUGCUUGUUAAGUGAAUCCAACUUUCCCCGUGAUUUUGGUAGUUGGAAGCUGGCUGAGAAGGCCACCAUUGGUGAACACAUGACCCUGGAAUGCUGCAGGGUCAUAAACACAUGCCGAUCGCCGAUCCCCCCAAAAUUUUUUGAUCAUGUGACAUGGCGAUGCUGCAAUGUCAUCAAUACAAGGACCGGUCAUGUCACUUUUCAUUUCGAUUGGACACUAAACGAACGGUGAUAAGUCAAGGAUUCCCUUUAAUGGAGCCUGCAGUGGAGAUGCCUCACCCCUCUUCCCCGAGCUAGACUUUUCUUCUUUCAUCAAGAACCCAUAUCCGUCUUCUCCUCGCGUCAUUUGAAGCUUCGUCACUUGGAACGGAACCCAGGAGGUGUCAGCCAGGGCAGCCGUAACCUUGACACCGCAUUGUCGGUACGCCUCCUCCGACUGGCUGUCCAUCACCAGGAGCCCCAUGGGGCUGCUGCUCUGUUUGAGCUGAAUCCGAAUCGGAGCGAGAGAGAGAAAAGACGACAACGAUGACCAAACGUCGGCAACAAUUCAGAGAAGUAGACAGGGUUGGGAAAUUAUUUGGCCACGAAGGGAGAAGGGGCUGUGUAAAAACUACCCAGAGGAUGGCCAGGAUAAAUCUUUGGGAGGGAAACUAAUAUUGGUAAUAUUGUACUACUAACUAGAGCAUACAAAACCUUUGCUAGACCAAUUCUCGAAUACAGCUCAUCUGUCUGGAACCUGCACCGCAUACUGGACAUUAAUACAAUUGAACGAGUCUAGAGAUAUUUCACGAGAAGAGUCCUCCACUCCUCUGCUCACAAUAAAAUACCUUGUGCCACCAGACUCCAAAUUUUGGGCUUAGACAACGUAGAACUAUGCCGACUUCAGUCUGACCUAAGCAUAGUACAUAAAAUUAUCUACCACAAUGUCCUACCUAGCAAUGACUACUUCAGCUUCAACCGCAAUAAUACACGAGCACACAAUAGAUGCAAACUCAAGGUAAACUCCAAACUCGAUUGCAGAAAAUGCGAUUUCAGCAACAGAGUGGUCAAUGCCUGGAACGCACUGCCUGGCUCUAGUUUCUUCCCCAAACCCCCAAAACUUUAACCUUAGACUGUCUACUGUUGACCUCACCCCAUUCCUAAGAGGUCUGUAAGGGGCAUGCUUAAGCGCACCAGCAUGCCUACCCUCCCUGUCCUUAUGUCCCCUUUUAUAUUGAUAAAAUUGAUCCAUUUCAUGUAUUCAUAAUCAUGUUUAUACUUAUAUUUGUAAUCUUACAUAUGCUUGACAAAAUAACUAAAUAAAAAUAAAAAGCACUCUCUUUAGUCCAGAAUCAUUGAUUUUAUCCAGUCAAAACAGAGGAACGAAUUAUUCACUCCUUCCUCUGGUGCAGAGAAAACCAAGCAGAGGAAAGUUUUAUGGAGUUGGAUUGAAGAUCUUCCACAACCAGAUACGGAGUUCACGUGGCCCACGAUGUGUACAGGGUGAUCUCCAACUAUGAAGGGAGACUUGGUUGUACCCUGAGCUAUGGGUGGGCUUCACAUACUGUAACAACUUGUUUGCCCAGCACCGGAAAUGUGAGCAUGCGCUAUGCAUGUGUCACAAAACAUGGCAAUUUGUUCACAUGCGCCAUCCACAUAUGUGUGCAGCAUCAAAAACACAGCGUUAUAGGACGGGAUAGCACCUGGGCGGGGACGGGGGACAG